AUCAUAAACCAGCCUUUUCUUUCCCAUAUCCAGUCUCUCCAGCUCCGCUCGCGCUCCCUUGGUUCAUUAGAGGAAAUACGACGGAGCGAAGCUUUAUUGUGCAGUUGCCAUUCACAGUGUGUUAUCUAUUGUAUUGGCUGUGCGAUUUAAAUGUCUGAGGACGAAAGUUGCUGUGUUGUUUACGAUUCAUUAUCGGGCUUAUCUAAAAUUCACAUAUGCAUGAGCGGAGGUGGUAAACAACCGCGGGUCGCACAUUUGUUAUUAUUAGGACGGAAAAGAAAGGCGCUAGUUUUUUUAAAUUAAUGUUUAUUUGUGUUUCGUGAAGGGUUUCAACAAAAGGCGAUGCACGCGCUCUCGUGGGGGGUGGGAUUAAAGUAGAAGUCGCCUAAUGUCAAUGACACUUUCCACGAUUAAUUAAUUUCGUGCAAUCGCUAAGGUUGAAUAGCAUGACAAAAGAGCGGCUCGAGCGCGUAUGCAUACACACAUCAUCGAGCACUAAAAGCUGUAGUGAACGCCAAGCAGUGAAGUGCCGGGUUUUAUUAUGUUCAACUACGCUGAAGCUGCAUUCCGCUUUCAUUCCGCCGCUCCAAAAUUAUACGAGGAUGUGGUGUGUGUCUCAAAACCGAUAUAUUCUCACAUGUUGCUCAUUCUUACAGCUGAGAAUAAACAGGCGCGUUCAUUUCAGCAACCAAACGAUGCCUGCGCUAUUGCUGUAAAUGCCGAUCCGAUAGUUUGCGAACAAAGGACCGGGGGAGAAUUUCGUGAGGUGGAGGACGACAGUAAAAGAACGGGUUGACUGUUUACAAUAAUAACAGCAUAGCCGUGACGUCGAGUGAUAGACAGCGCUCUCAGCCAGAGGAGAAACUUCUGAGGCAUCAACAACAUUCUAAAUUUGGACAGGGGUUACAUCAUCGAAGUUAACGCUGCUGAGGGGCGGGACUUCCGGUUAGAUUUGAGUUCGUACCGCUGAAGCGGCUGCUCUUUCUGUUGUGUCUGUCCAUCUGUCUCUGCACAGUCGCCUCCCUUUCACUGUCACAAGCAGAGCAAUGCUUAACAUUCUAUGUUAAAAUGUUUUUAGAUGCUCGUAAAUGGUUAGUAAUAAUGGCGUUGAUGUAGCUAUUGUGUGGUCCAAAUGAUCAAAACGUUUCCGCAACCCAAGCUAACUUAAAAAGAAGUAAUGAACUCAUAUAUUAUGACUUCAGCUAUUCAGAGAGGUUGUUUGCAUUGAUCAGUUCAUUAUCUCUGUUAAAACGUGUAAUUUUGUGCUGGUACUCUUCAUAAAAUCCCAUAAUUAUAGACAGUGGUAGGCUAAGUCAUAUGUUUAGACAGGGUCGAUGAAAUAUCAUGUAAUGACUCGCUACAAAGUCAAGACAGCUCACUAUCACAUAAAAUCACUACAUAUAAUCACUGAAUGAAUUUCAGUCUUAUGUCAUACAACAUACUAAAUACAUGAUGCUUUGGAUAAAAGCGUCUGCUAAAUGACUAAAUGUAAAUGUAAAUGUAAUGAUGUUAAAUUUACUGAAAUUGUAUUGCCAGUGCACUCCAUUAUAUGGAGUAUACAUUUUAUAGGCUAUAAUGCCAGAAACUAAAUUUCAGAUAAAGUGUGUUUCUGCGAGGUGAUGUCAAAUAUUUUAGCAAUAUAACCUGACCUAUUUUAAUCUAUUUUUUGUUCAUACUUUGAGCCUAUUCUAUAUUAUAUAAGGCAUUUAAUUAGAGGGUUUUUGUAUUGUAAAACCGUGUAAUAAGAGACCAUUCACUUUAGUAAGAUCUCUCCUGCUUUGGGUCACUAAUAAAUGAACUUAAACCAAACAAACCAGCAUGAGUCAGUGGCUGUGUCUUGUUAGGCCGGUCCACUUAACAGGGGUCAAAGGUUGCUGUUUUAUUCUCAGACUUGACUUGCAGACAUCUAUUGGCUUUUGAUGGAUGUUGUUACUUAAGUGUGUAGGCUCUGGCCUCUGUAAAAGGGGGGGCUGUCCCCUCACAUGCUCCCACCCCCUCCCUCAUACUAAAGAGAUCAUGGGUGCAGCUGCCUCAGACAGCUUUGGGGUGGGUUGGGGGUCCGAGACCCUUCAAUGAGAGAACAAAACCCUUUCAUAAACACACACACUCAAGUUCACCCCUUACAAUUGCCCCUAUUUUCACACCCCUACAAAAAAAAAAAAAAAAGCUCUGAAGGGCACUGUGUGCACGGCACACGUAUUUGUCCUUACUAGUACACAGCUAAUUACUAAAAUGUUAGGAUCAUGAAUCUGAAAAACAGAAAGGCAUGUUUAAUUAUUAUUAUUUUUUUAUGGUUAGAGUUUAUCAUCAUAUAUGAGUAAUCCAACAGGUCAAGGAUUUAAUAUAAAGGAACUUUAUCAGAUACUGCAUACAACAAAACACAGCUUUUCUACUUUCAGAUAUCCAACAAUUGUAGUCUGCCAAAGCCUACUUUGCUGACUCAGCAAAUUUCCAGCUUAUUUUUUAUUUUACACUGAUAUCAUCUUCAACUCGUAACAUUAAUUUCCAUCAAACUGCUAAAUAAAACCACACAUCUAUUUAAAGACAAGACAGAUAUAUGCUCCACACACCAACAGAAAAAUCAAAGAACGAGUUAAUCAAAUUAUCAUUCUGUAUCUUUCACUGAACGUAUUGAAUGUAGUUUGCAGCUUUGCAGUGUGUGUCUAUUUCAAGAGUUGUUUGAGGUGAAAUGUGAAGGCAGAAAGUUUAAUUUGAUUCAGAGAAUCAAACUAUGAAUAGAGUGUGUAAAACUUCGGUAGGAACCUUGUUGUUACACUUGCAUUAUGAGAUGAUGCAGGAGUCAUGAAGUCAGAAAUUAGUCAGUAGUGAUGUGGAUAAAAUGUGUGAGACGGCCUUAAAUAUAGGGCUGCAUUUGUUGUAUGGCUCUAUAUGUAUAAGGGACUUUGAAAGUGUGCAUUUGGUUAUUAUUCAUAUAUGCUCCCAGAAGCGUCAUGCUUCAUGUAUUUGACUGUAAUUCAUGCUGUAUUAGCUCAGCAUCUUUUAGCUGAUUACACAGCCCUGUAAUAUGCAAUCUAACAAUAACAAAGUUGAGGUCCAUGAUAAAGUUGAUUCUGACAUCUAUUAUAUACAAAUAUAAAAUGUGGAUUAUUAGUAUCUAUUGGCAGCAAGGUGCCAUAGGUUUGGUCAGCUUAUUAGAGCCUUGAUAUUGCUGCAUAUGAAUGUUAAUAAUUAAUCACCCAAACUAGAAGAAAUGGGUUAAAUCUUGUGCUGGUAUCUACUACAGAGUAUCUGUGUUUGGAUAAGUGGGCAGUAUUAAGAUUUGGGCUUUCAAGUGUGUCACAAAGCAGUUGCUGAGGAAAAACCAGGUCAUAUCACCCUCUCUUUCUGAGCAGAAUGGAUAUUUUACAGCACCACUGAGACUGAGCUAUCAGUUUGCAUAGGGCGUAUACAGAAGAACACCUUACAUGAGUUUCUCUAUAGGGAGCUGGAAGGGAAGUAGUCGAGGAAAUAGCUUAAAUAACAAACAUUAGAUAGCCAAAGGCUACUUUUUAUUUCACGAGGCUGCUUAUCUGUCCAGAUUUGGGUGCCUCCCCUCAAUUGGCAGAGGAUUCUUCUCCUUUAAACACAUGCACGUCUUUUAACACACAGUUUCACAGAAUAUUGUAAGAUUGUUUCGUGUCCUUUUCAACGGUGAUGGAAAAAAUGUUUCUUUCAGUAAAAUCUUUCUAAUCUCCCACCUUCAAAACCGCUCUCCAAGUCCAUGUUCCCGGCAUGCACACGCGAGCUGGGGGCGGCUCUUACAGAUUUGAAUGAGGAGAGUCACUUUCGGCGCCAUUUUCGAGUGAGCGGCGAUAACAUCACAUCAACGCCGAGCGCGCGCGCAGAGAGGGACAGUGCGCGCGACGCUUCGUCUUAAACAUCAGACUUGUUAUCUGAAUGUGGGAAAAACAGCACGGGCGGACCACGUUUAGAGGGAAAAAACGGCUGGGAUCUGGUGUCGACGAGCACAGAAGUGACCAAUACGAGCCGAUCGAGGAGCCGAAGGAGAAAAGGGGGCUAUCGCUCAGCUGCGUAAUAUGGAAAACAUGCGAUUUUAUAAAAAAUAAUACAUAAAAAUAACCCUCGAUGCGGGGAAAAAUAUAGAAAAAUUCUGGAAAAUACCAGAGGGUCUUAGGAUUGGGAUUCGGCGCGGCGGUGGUGAAGGUUGUGUCAUUUUGGUGCUUUUUCACGUCGCUUUUUGAGCGGGAGUAACGGACGAGCCGCUGGCGCAGAUACACGCAGUUCAGUCCGAGUCUGUGCUGCAGCAGACACUGAACUCACAUCUUACAGGAGACAUCAAGCACUUUAGCCGGAAAGGAAUGUAGAGCACACGGCAUGACACUGAGCUGUGACACAGUCAAAUAACUGUUGCGAAACGAGGAGCGUGUAUGUGCGGCUGUGUGGGCGCGCGCCUCGCGUGAGUGCGUGUGCGCGCGCUCUGUGCGGGGCCUGUCGGUACUGUAGCAGCACAGAAUGGUUUGUGAGUUAUAACGGGGGUGCAGGCCGUACUGUGCUGCGGCAAGAACGACAGGACAGACGUGCACUUCAGAUUCAGACGGGUGAAAAGACAGAAGAGAAAGGUCUAGUAGGCGAAGACAACAACAGCAGCAAGACUACGUGUGCCUGCGAGCCUCCUGAACUUGGCCGUGUGACUGACUGACUGACUGACUGGCCGCCUGGCUGUAGCAGCACGUAAAUAUUGGAGUCAAAGCACUAGCGAAUCCUCCAGUAUU